AUUGAAAUCAGUAUGUAAUCUGCACAUCAUCACUUUAUAGAGAGAGAUUGCAAGAGAAAAGGAAAAAAAUGUAUCAUCAAAAGGAUAGUUCCUUACUAGGGUUUCAUCACUUGAUUUUGAGUCAAGGACUGCUCUAUAACCAAUGUGAAUGGAAGCUCUUGAUGCCUGCUUAUCAAGAAUUUUAUCAUCCUUGUCUUGAUCUUGGAAAUACUCAGUAACACAAGCUGCAAUCAUUCUUUGAACUGUGGAGGUCUUCUCCAGACCAGUUUGGCAAUACAAAAAGACUCAUGAAUAGGCAUAUUGCACAACCUAUCGCAAUAGUACUUAAGCGAUCUCGUGCUAAAGGCACCACAUCCUCUUGACGGAAGCUUGAUACUGUUAUCAGAUUGAAAGUUAGCAGGAAAAUCACGACCCCAUAAUCAUAGUUCUUCUUAAUGGAUGGGAAGAAUCUCAAAUAUGUUGCAGCAAAUCCUGUCAAGGAAACAAAGCCAACACAAUAAGCUAUGAUCUUGCAGUAAAAAAAAAAGAAAGAACUUUACAAGGUGCGUACCUAUCAGAAAGACUGAUGAUCCAACAAACAGAGCCCGGAAUACUUUUCCAGAUCGUACUGCUACAAGUUCAAUUAUAAAUGCUAGAGAUCCUGCCAAGAUUGUUCCUAACCCUCUAUUCAGCCCUUUGCAUAUAGUUGCACCUGUUGUUCAGCAGUCACUUGUGAGGAACAUGAAUUUCGGUAAUCACUUAUUUGGAACAAGAAAAGCUACAUCUGGGAAGAACACAUAUUAUUAUUAUUAUCCUGAUGCUAAUGGAUUAUGCACGUUACCUGCAGUAAAUUCAAGCACAACAACAACGGUCAUCACAGCCCACAUUGCAUUCUUUCCCACUCCCUUGAACAACGGUUCAAGUAUGUACAGGAGUGAGACCAGUAAUCGACGAGCUAUUCUUGUUAUUGCUGGGAUCUGGAGCACAAGCCAUUGGUGCGGCCUGAAACUCUUGGUGGAUGCUGAGGUUUCUUACAAGAUGGCAAUGCAAAAUAGGUGGUACCAAAUGCUCGAAGCAAGUGAUGCUCCUCCCCACAUAAGGCAGGUGGUGCAAGGUGUCCCAAAAAUCAGGAACUGAGAGGACAAUAUUUUCUCUAUGUUGAGCAACUCACAAGUCAUAAGACGAUACAUAUUUUUCAUUCUUUUCCUGACUCUGAUAUAUUGCUCACACAAGGUGAAGGCAGGGACUUCUUUUCCUGAGUCUGAUAUAUUAUAUAUGCUCACACAAGGUGAAGGCAAGGAUGAGGCCUUGACUUUGCGCUGCUGUGGACCAUUAUUGAAUGAAGUCACAUGGAAGUUGGGAAAGACCUAAAGAAGUUGGCAAGCCGCUCGUGUGCCUUGAUUGGACGACAAUCGUCGGCCCAUGGCCGGUUCUCUUGAGAAGGACUUGUGCGGAGGUUAAGCUCACGAAGGUAUAGUUGUUUUUUUUUUUUUUUUUUUGGCAGCUGCAGUGCUUGACAUUGGAGCAGCCGUCAGGUCGUCUUUUGCCUUCUAGUGGUUGACAUUAUGCCAGGUGGCAUAUACAGUAUAUUGCACAAGCACACCUGUGAAAUGUUGGCGGUUGUCACUUGUCAGGUGUCUGUGUGCAAGUUGGACUUGGAAUGCAAAGGCCGGCGUUGUGGUUGUGCUUUGAUUUUCCAUCUGAAUUUCCAGAUCGGCAGCCCAAAUACUUUGCAACUUUGGAAUCCAGAUUGCUAACUUUAAUUCUCUGCUAUGUGCUGCAUCUGGGAUGCAAGGAAGGAAUGUCGAAAGAUAGAUGGGCCGCUAUUACUGCUGGACUGGACUGGACUGGAGGCCCAAGACCGGUAACAAGGCGUGCACUUGGCUGCUGACAAUAGAAGCUGGGAAAAAUUGCUGGCACGUGCGUGUGUUCGUUCGAUACCAACGACUUUGCUUGCUCUACCACCUGGGUUGCUGUUCCAAUCUGCAACGACAUUACAGAUAUGCUGAGAUCUAGUGGUACAGAGUACCUUUAGCUGUGCAUAGGAGGAGUACCUUGAGCUGUGCAUAGUAGCAGUUGUUUGCUGUGCUGGAAAAAGCCAUUAAAAGAAGUUUGAUCCAUUUGGUGACU